GGGAAUUUCAAUGACCAUGAGUAUCCAGUGAAAGCUUUUUACACACAUAUAUAUAGUCAAGCCUAUAUAUAACUAUAUAAAACUAUAUAAAACUUGUCUCGAGUAAUAAUUAUUAAAAUAAAAUAUGCAUGCACUUAAUAACUAUAUAACUCACUCGAAGUUGAAGGGGAAGAGUAUUUUUUGUUUUUAUUUUUGGUUCACAAAGAACCUCAUAAGAUUGGUACAGACUUCUGUCUCAUGAGCUGCUGUCCACACUGCCUGCGGAGCCUUGAAAACAAUAUAAGGGUCAACGAAGCCAAUACUAUUGUCAUUUCUGAUUCUGAGCUCUCUCAUUUGGUGCCUGUAUAUAUACAUACAAAUUCUAAGUGUGU
rnacentral:lncRNA from 1 species